UAAGGGGACCAACCUCCUUGUUUGUCCAGGACUGAGGGGAUUCCCAGACAGCCCUGGGCAAACUGGGGUGAGUUGGUGGCUUUAAUUUAGU
rnacentral:miRNA from 1 species